rnacentral:rRNA from 1 species
CAGUCGCCGCGGUAAUACGAAGGGUGCAAGCGUUAAUCGGAAUUACUGGGCGUAAAGCGUGCGUAGGCGGUUUGUUAAGUCUGCUGUGAAAUCCCCGGGCUCAACCUGGGAAUGGCAGUGGAUACUGGCAAGCUAGAGUGUGUCAGAGGAUGGUGAAACUCCCGGUGUAGCGGUGAAAUGCGUAGAGAUCGGGAGGAACAUCAGUGGCGAAGGCGGCCAUCUGGGACAACACUGACGCUGAGGCACGAAAGCGUGGGGAGCAAACAGGAUUAGAUACCCCUGUAGUCCCUGUCUCUUAUAC